AGAGUUUGAUCCUGGCUUAGGACGAACGCUGGCGGCACGCUUAACACAUGCAAGUCGAACGAGAGAAGAGGAGCUUGCUUUUCUGAUCUAGUGGCGGACGGGUGAGUAACACGUGAGCAAUCUGCCUUUCAGAGGGGGAUACCGAUUGGAAACGAUCGUUAAUACCGCAUAACAUAAUUGAACCGCAUGAUUUGAUUAUCAAAGAUUUAUCGCUGAAAGAUGAGCUCGCGUCUGAUUAGCUAGUUGGUAAGGUAACGGCUUACCAAGGCGACGAUCAGUAGCCGGACUGAGAGGUUGAUCGGCCACAUUGGGACUGAGACACGGCCCAGACUCCUACGGGAGGCAGCAGUGGGGAAUAUUGCACAAUGGAGGAAACUCUGAUGCAGCGAUGCCGCGUGAGGGAAGAAGGUUUUAGGAUUGUAAACCUCUGUCUUCAGGGACGAAAAAAGACGGUACCUGAGGAGGAAGCUCCGGCUAACUACGUGCCAGCAGCCGCGGUAAUACGUAGGGAGCGAGCGUUGUCCGGAAUUACUGGGUGUAAAGGGAGCGUAGGCGGGAUCGCAAGUCAGAUGUGAAAACUAUGGGCUUAACCCAUAAACUGCAUUUGAAACUGUGGUUCUUGAGUGAAGUAGAGGUAAGCGGAAUUCCUAGUGUAGCGGUGAAAUGCGUAGAUAUUAGGAGGAACAUCAGUGGCGAAGGCGGCUUACUGGGCUUUAACUGACGCUGAGGCUCGAAAGCGUGGGGAGCAAACAGGAUUAGAUACCCUGGUAGUCCACGCCGUAAACGAUGAUUACUAGGUGUGGGGGGACUGACCCCUUCCGUGCCGCAGCAAACGCAAUAAGUAAUCCACCUGGGGAGUACGACCGCAAGGUUGAAACUCAAAGGAAUUGACGGGGGCCCGCACAAGCAGUGGAGUAUGUGGAUUAAUUCGAAGCAACGCGAAGAACCUUACCAGGUCUUGACAUCGUAUGCAUAGCUCAGAGAUGAGUGAAAUCUCUUCGGAGACAUAUAGACAGGUGGUGCAUGGUUGUCGUCAGCUCGUGUCGUGAGAUGUUGGGUUAAGUCCCGCAACGAGCGCAACCCUUACUGUUAGUUGCUACGCAAGAGCACUCUAGCAGGACUGCCGUUGACAAAACGGAGGAAGGUGGGGAUGACGUCAAAUCAUCAUGCCCCUUAUGACCUGGGCCUCACACGUACUACAAUGGCUGUCAACAGAGGGAAGCAAAGCCGCGAGGUGGAGCGAACCCCUAAAAGCAGUCUUAGUUCGGAUUGUAGGCUGCAGCCCGCCUACAUGAAGUCGGAAUUGCUAGUAAUCGCAGAUCAGCAUGCUGCGGUGAAUACGUUCCCGGGCCUUGUACACACCGCCCGUCACGCCAUGGGAGUCGGUAACACCCGAAGCCUGUAGUCUAACCGCAAGGAGGACGCAGUCGAAGGUGGGAUUGAUGACUGGGGUGAAGUCGUAACAAGGUA
rnacentral:rRNA from 1 species